GGAAUUCUCCACAGACUGCUGCUUGGAGAAGUUCAACCUCUUAGAGACAGUUGCAAUAAAGGAAUUCUAUCAAAAAGAAUUUGCUGAAUUGUGAUUGCAAACAAAAUAGCUUUGUGGGGACAGAAUGUACUCCUGACAACGGAGCCUUAUGUUUGUUUUCCAGUCUCUCCUCCCAGUGCUUCACUUCUAAUCUCUCUGCAGAAAGAAACAUUUCAACAGAGAACCAAGUCAAAAUUAAGACAAGUUAUCUUCUCAAAGUCCUGAACUCCCAUCCCUAUCUCAGAAGGAACUUCUCUGUUCACAGAAGCUAAAGCCAGUCCGAAUUCCAAUUCCUUUCCAAGAGUAAUACUGUUUGGAUGUUGGAUGCACACCUUUCCAAGCGUUGUGGUCUCCAAAUAUCAGAGUUUUCCGUUUUCCCUAUCAAUACUGCCCGCCCUGGGUGUUACCUCUUUGAAUUCAGAUUUAUCUGAAUGAGGCGUCUAAGGGAAGGUACAUGGUAACUAGGAGAUGAUUUCUAUCCCGGUCUCCUAUUUUUGAUGGUCUCCAGUCCUGAUUCUCCAACUACCUUGCCUUCACGCUUUGUGGAUUCAGAAUCUGGAUGUGGUCGUGGCCCAGUCACUGAAUUGGGAAUUUCUAAGUGCCUCGGAAUUUAACAGAAAUGUCAUCCCAGAUGUCAGACUGCCAUCCAGGGCCAUGCAGCAACUGAGCAAUGAGAAAAUACGCCACUAGGCAAUCCUCAUCUGGGAUAAUAUUUAGGAUGAGAGAACAUGCAUUGUCACCUACCUACUUGACAAGAGUGGAUUCCAAAUCUGGCACACCAUGGCCUAAUUCCUCACCAGUAUGUUCCAGGAAGGGCAAGCCCAAGCUGCAUGAAUCCCUGCCACUCUACUGAAUAAGCUUCCAAGCAUUACCUGCAUGCUGUGUUUCUGUGGAGGGAUGGCAGUAAUCUCUGCUAAGAUAAACCGGAGCUUCUGUGGAUAAAGCAUAAACUCAGUGAAGUGUGUAUCUGUAAGAUUUAAUGCCUCUACAGGUAAUUUUUUUGGAGGGGAGAUCUGGCAUUUAAUCAAAUCCAGAGUCAUUAUGUAAAUUUAAUCACCUUGCAACACACUAGUAAUUUUAUUAUCUCCUUUUCAUUUGAUAGUGCUUAGAUACAAGUUGAGCUUGGGAUUCCAGAGGUAGAGUACUGCUGAUUGGAGGCAUAUUCAGGAAAAUGUCCUGUGGAAAUGAGAUAAAACCUUUAUUCUUGCUAUUGGUUGUCAUUUUUGUAUGUAUACAGGUGUCCAACAAAGGGUUUUUAGAAUAAAGUGUGCCUUUUUAAAGUUUUCCACCUUUCUUAAAGCCCCAAAUGAAUUGCAAAGAGCCUGUUUUAAAUCUGCUUCUGUCAAAUGGAAAACCUUUACAAUGAAGGAUAUGUAGUUCAAACUCUCCCUAACACGGGGGCCUUCUUUACACUUGUGUAGCCCCUUUUGGUUUGGCCUUUGGUUACUAGAAUGAUGUCUGAUGUUGGAUUGUUUAUGCCAUAAUAUCUAUUUAAAAUUGAAAACAGUAUUUCCAUUCAUCAACACCAGUUUUGAUAGGUGUUUAAAAGGUUCAGUGGGGUUGAUGAUCCUGGAUAGACAAAUUAUCCAUCACCACAUCACUGUUCAUAUUAUGAGGCUGAGGAAGAAAAAACCUGGUCAAGUUGGAUUUCCCAAAAGGCACUUGGGCUUUUUGACCCUGUGAUUCACACUAAUGAUCAUGUCUUAAUGAUAGUAAUGAAGCUAAAUACUUUUUCUGUGAUCUAAAGAGUGAAAUUAGAAAGGAGGCAAGAGGGAAGACAUGAUAAUGUAUUGAACUGACAUUGCUAAAGCAGAAGAAAUGGCAUUUUGGAUAUCUUUCCUUCACUUCUCUGUUUUACUUUCCCCAUUUUCUCUUCUCUCUUAAUCUGAAAGAAACUUUUGAGAAUAUCCCUUCUCCUUCAGGGGAAGACUCCAUGAACUCCCUCAUCAAUAUGUUGAAAAAUGGAGGCCCCUGGUCAGCUAGAAAGUCUUUCCUUUAAUCACCUGAUGUCUCUCCUGCUGUAUCUUUCAGGCAUGGAAGCCAACAACUUGGGCAAAUACCCUUAAUUUGGGCUCAAUUCAGAUGGCCAAGUUUCCCCUAUGUAGAGUACCACUUAUUCCAGUGAAAACUUUUCUUCUUUCUAAAAAUCCUUACUAACUCCAUGAACCGUAACAUGGCCUCAUAAUGAGAAAUCACAAUGGUGUAAUCUAGGAUUAAGAUUGAAAUGCCUUAUUAUCCAAUUUCCCAUCAAGCUUCUUAUUUGUUCCCUGUUUACCACUGAUGCCUCAGUUUUCUCAUCCUAAAAUGGAGAUAAUAAUCACUACCUACCUCUAAGGGUUGGUAUAAGGACUCAGUGAGACAUUGGGUGUGAAAGUAUUCAGCACUAGGUCUGGCCCAGAGCACAUGCUCAACGGGUACAGGUUGAAUCAGAACAAUCUUGUGGUUAGGAGGAUAAAGGCUUGACUUCUGAGAGUUCUUUAUAUAUUAGAUUCAAGUACUGUAUCAGAUAUAUGGUUUCAAAAUAUUUUCUCCCAGUCUGUACUUGUCUUUUCGUUCUCUUAACAGUGUCUUUUGCAGAGAAAAACUUGUAAAUUUUGAUGAAGUCCAAUUUGUCAACUUCUUUUUUAUAGAUCAUGCUUUUGAUGUCAUAUCUAAGAACUCUUUACCUAACCCAAGGUUAUGAACAUUUUCUUGAAUGAUUUUUUCCUAAAAGUUUUAUAGUUUUAUGUUUUAAGUUUGGAUCAACUAUCUACCUUGAGUUAAUUUUUGUAUA